ACUAAGAAACAAAAAGAAGAAAAAAGAAGAUGAGGGGGAACAAAAUUCCUUUCUUGUUUAUCUGUUCUUCUUUUAGUUUU
rnacentral:ribozyme from 1 species